UGUUUGCUGGCAGCCACCGAAGUGUUCGUCUUACGACUCUAAUUGCAUGUUGGGUCUAAAGGCUUGAAUCCAAGCCCUGGUGCGGAAAGUCCUCGAAUUCAUGUAUUCUUCUCUUGGGUCUGCACGGGUGUGCUGUGGGACUUGUACUAAAUAUAGCAAUGCAUUUUGAAUGAGAUUCCAAGAGCCUUUGAUUCAGAGCUCAUUUAGCUAAUCAAAUCCUAAAUCAUAUUAUGCGAACUGCACAAUCUGAUAUCAAACAAAAACUGAAAGAAAAAAGAAAACCUCGAUUCUCAUUCGGAGUUCCCUCGUUGAUGUUUCCAGUCUCGGCAGAAGCAAGAACACCUUCUUCCAGAUGAAGUUCCAAGAAAGAAAGGUGAAACAUUUUUUGAAAGCUCCAAAUCCGAUGACUUCAGAAGGUAGAGUUAUCCCCAUUAUCAUUGAAGCAUCAGAAAACACUUCCCGAUGGAUCUUGGAAAAUAAGUUGGAGAGAAAAUGAAUGAUUGAUUUACCUAAAAUAGAGUAACAACAAUGCAUGAGAUUUGAUUGAUGCUCGGCUUCUUUAUAGGAGUUUCGUUGAAGGAAGCAACCUUGUAAUUUGAUUCCAUGUUAUUAACGAUAUGAUCACCAUGUGAUUUUUUUCUUUUUCGUUCAGCAAUUUUGUGUUGAAGGAUCAAAUAUGUCAUGCACCUUUUAGGGGUCAUUUUGUAAAUUCGGGUUUAAGUGAAUUAUUUGCUAUAGGGUGUGAGAAAUGUUGUAUUUAUUUAUAUAUUUAAUUUUACUAUUUU
rnacentral:lncRNA from 1 species